rnacentral:tRNA from 1 species
GCCGAUGUGGCGGAAUUGGCAGACGCGCACGACUCAAAAUCGUGUUUCCUCGUGAAGUGUGGGUUCGACUCCCACCAUCGGCA